UGGGGAAUAUUGGGCAAUGGAGGGAACUCUGACCCAGCAACGCCGCGUGAAGGAAGAAGGUUUUCGGAUUGUAAACUUCUGUCGCGAGGGACGAAGAAUGACGGUACCUCGUAAGAAAGCCCCGGCUAACUACGUGCCAGCAGCCGCGGUAAUACGUAGGGGGCAAGCGUUGUCCGGAAUGACUGGGCGUAAAGGGAGUGUAGGCGGCACUAUAAGUUAGAUGUGAAAGCCCGCAGCUUAACUGCGGAACUGCAUCUAAAACUGUAGAGCUUGAGUGCAGGAGAGGUAAGUGGAAUUCCUAGUGUAGCGGUGGAAUGCGUAGAUAUUAGGAGGAGCACCAGAGGCGAAGGCGACUUACUGGACUGUAACUGACGCUGAGGCUCGAGAGCGUGGGGAGCAAACAGGAUUAGAUACC
rnacentral:rRNA from 1 species